ACCGGGCUGGACCGGGCCCAAGUUGGGCCUGAAAUGGACUGGGGCCAACGGGCCCAGUUUGGCCCGUGAUGGGCCUCCUCCUUCCCCAAACCCCACACGGACAGGGGAAGAAGGAGAGACGGAAGGGAAAGAGGGCCGGCGGGGUGGCCGGCCUAGGUGGCCAGGGACUGUCGCCCGGUCAACGGCCAGCCGGCCGCAGCGGUGCCCGGUGCCGGAGGAAAAC
rnacentral:lncRNA from 1 species